rnacentral:rRNA from 1 species
UACGGGGGGAGCAAGCGUUGUUCGGAAUUACUGGGCGUAAAGCGUGCGUAGGUGGUUUGUUAAGUCUGUUGUGAAAGCCCCGGGCUCAACCUGGGAAUGGCAAUGGAUACUGGCAAGCUAGAGUGCGGUAGAGGGUAGUGGAAUUCCCGGUGUAGCGGUGAAAUGCGUAGAGAUCGGGAGGAACACCAGUGGCGAAGGCGGCUACCUGGACCAGCACUGACACUGAGGCACGAAAGCGUGGGGAGCAAACAGG